rnacentral:rRNA from 1 species
GUGGAUUAGAUACCCUGGUAGUCCACGCCCUAAACGAUGUCAACUAGGUGUUGGAGGGGUUAAACCCUUUAGUGCCGUAGCUAACGCGUGAAGUUGACCGCCUGGGGAGUACGGCCGCAAGGCUAAAACUCAAAGGAAUUGACGGGGACCCGCACAAGCGGUGGAUGAUGUGGAUUAAUUCGAUGCAACGCGAAAAACCUUACCUACCCUUGACAUGUCAGGAAUCCCGGAGAGAUUUGGGAGUGCCCGAAAGGGAGCCUGAACACAGGUGCUGCAUGGCUGUCGCCAGCU